rnacentral:snRNA from 1 species
UGGAGAAGCAGAGUGAAAGUCUGUCUCCAGAUUGAUCACUGGAGUUCACUUGGCUGACCUGGCUGGCUAGGUGAAUUUUUCCUAUCUCCUCACAACAUCGUUCUGCAAACUUCAUGAAGCUGCACACUGAGAUGAGCAGUUCCAUGCUCUGUGUCAAGCAUGGUAGCAUCUCCUUCUAGGUCUCCAAACAAGAUUAAAAUCCAUUUAUAGAACACAGAGCAGCCAAGCCUUCAAGUCUUGAGACACAUAGAGAUGAAGGUCUGCAUACUGCAAUUUGCCGUUCAUU